UGUGUGCGUGUGCGUGUGCGUGUGCGUGUGUGUGUGUGGUCACUGUGUCCUUUUGUCACUGCUCUAGGCCUGAAGUACAGUUCACGUCCUCAGACCAGGGAUGGAGGCAUGAGGAAAAACAGAAUGAGGGUAUCUAAGAAAAAGCAGAAGCCAGGGGAGAGAGGGAAGGAAGGAGUGAAUCACAAGUGCACACCUCAAAAGAGGCUAACCCUUCUUCUCCACCAAUGUGUGACAGGGGUGGAAGUAGGCCUGUGAGGUGAAAGUACCUGGCCAGAAAGAAGAUGAGCCUGGGAAAGUGGAAAAGAAGCUAAAAGUUCUGCUCUGACUGGGGUCUGUCUCUGGUAGGCCCCAUUUCCCCUUCUCAGCUGGGGAUGAGGAAGGGUAGUCCUGCCUGGACAGUUAUUCCUUCGGAGCUCUCCGGAGGAGGCAUUCAUCUGUUACCACCUCUCUGAUUCCUACACAAGAAUAGGGGUCUGGCUUGGCCGCCCUUCUGCACCACGACCCAUGACAACACUGUAAGACGCUGAGGAGAGGGGAAGACUCCAUGAUUCCUGCCCGGCGCCUUCCACCAGUGACACAGGGUCAGAGGCCAGGCAGCAGGCAGUCCUAAGCCCAACACCAAAGGAUCCACCUGCAGAAUGGACAGUUUCUGUACCCAACCUGUCACUGCUCCAAAGAACUUUCACACUCCAUUCGUCUCCAUCCAGCCUUGGACACGGACGAGACUCCACCCCAAGACGCUCACACUAAGAUCCUUCCUAUCAGAGAAAGAAUCAAGGCAUAGAAUGAGCAAGGACCACAACCACCCUAAUCCUUAAAAUGGGCUCCCAGACUCACUCAUAUACCCCCAGAAAAACCCAGUAAUUCUUGUGAGAGCGAAGAAGGCAGGAUCUCAGGGAGCCCAGUGGGAAGGCUGUAGGACUAGGUGCCCAGGAGCUGGUACCAACAGCCCCACCCCCGUACUGCUAACCAAGCACUCUCCUAGGAGGGCCAGACAUGAGCUCACCAUCCUCACAGCCCCAGGGUUGGGGCAGGAUCCUUCUCCUAGCAGGGGAGGGGCAGAGUAGCAGGGAAGAGUCCACAGAUAGGCUCCUGCCAGGGCACCUGAUACUGACUGAAAAAAAGCUAGAGAGCAGAGCCCCACCCCUUCCCACCUUCUGUAACUUCUCUCAGUGUAAAGCAGGUAUUGGAGAGGGUACCCUACACAUCCAGACACUGAAACACACACACACACACACACACACACACUCGCAUGCGCACACACACCCUAGUUCCCCUUCUGAAACCUGGAAUGGUUCCUGCCUGCCUCACCCAGCUCCACCCACCCUGGCCAGGCAGGUUCUGUAGAGACCUGUUCUCUCUCUGGCACCCCUACCCCCAUGCAGCUCUCAGAGUCCCUGCCCCCAAUCCAGCACUCACACAUAUGCUCACAAACACAAGCACACCCACCCCACAGCAUCCCAUCCCCUAGUUUCCCAUCCCUGAGACCCACCCCUGGUCAAUCAUGGGCAGGAUGUUGAGGGAUGAAUAUUCCCUUUGGCAUCUUUCCCAGGCUGAGGCUAUAGGGAGAGAGAGGACACAGAGGUAACCAGGACUGAAAUGCCAGGAUGCUCUAUUUCAUUUCCCCCACCCACAGGGGUUUGAGCUGCUGUCUCCCAGGCUGUGGCAGAGGGGGCCCCUCCCCCACGAACCAGGUGAGGUGUGGAAGGACUAAGCCGGAAGAUAGGAGAAGGGCAAUAGGAAGUACGUGACCUGUGCUGACUGACCCACAGGCCUACUUCCUACACACCCAGUCCAACAAAAUGCCACCCCGUCUUUCAGUCCUAAGUAGGCCUCAACUGUCCCUGGACCUAAGAGAUAUCAAAGUCUGCUCGCCCAGCUCUUGCCUCAAGGCAGGAAGUUAUUUAGGAAGGGGAAGUCAGCCAGCCUCAGGCUGGCAAUGUGGACCAGGAGAGCUGAGACUUGGGGAAAGAGUGUGUGGAAGAAAGACAUAUGGGACAUUGUGGGUGAAGGCAGGAUUGUAUGGGGAAGCAGUAGAGUGAGCCUCAAGGUGUGAGACCAAUGUGUGUGG
rnacentral:sRNA from 1 species